UGCCAUUUCGAGUGUUUGUUGUACCAUCACCAAGGUAACAAACCAAACAUGCACAUGACAUCUUUAGCAUGACAAGAUGAAAGAUAUUUUGAACUCCAAGAGUCUCGGCCCAUUUUUGGACCUGUGCAGGCUAAAUGUCUGCCCUUUGACUGUUAGGCAGUCACAGGUGAAACUUACUCGACCAUUCUGGGGAAAUCCCACCCGGCUUUGGGGCAGCCAAUGACGUUACUUCCGGUUCUGGCAUUGAUGACAUCACUUCCUGCA